rnacentral:misc_RNA from 1 species
AAGUCGUAACAAGGUUUCCGUAGGUGAACCUGCGGAAGGAUCAUUAUUGAAUAUUCUUGAUAGGUUGUAGCUGGCUCUUCGGGGCAUGUGCACACUUGUCUUGACUUUAUUCAUCCACCUGUGCACUUUUUGUAGUCUUGGGGGUUGAGAUCAGUUGACUAUCGGAUGGCUUAUAGCCUUUCCGGACGUGAGGAAUGCUGAGUGCAAAAGCAUACAGCUCUUCUCAAAUGACUUAUAAACCUCUCCCUCGAGUACUAUGUAUUCAUAUACCACAUAGUAUGUUGUAGAAUGUGAUCAAUGGGCCUAGUGCCUAUAAUAAUCAUAUACAACUUUCAGCAACGGAUCUCUUGGCUCUC